GUUGCUUCAUGGCCUUUUGGCUAAGUUCAAGUGUAGUAUCUGUCCUUAUCAGUUUAAUAUCUGAUACAUCCUCUAUCUGAGGACAAUACAUUAAACGGAUUUUUGGAGCAGGGAGAUGGAAUAAGGACUAGUUUCCUCCACUCCAUGCAUCAACCUGGUAUUGCAGUACCUCCAGAAAUGGUGCACCCCUC
ensembl:snRNA U2 U2 spliceosomal RNA